UGCAAACAUACGUGGCAAUUGGUGUGUAA
rnacentral:piRNA from 1 species